rnacentral:misc_RNA from 1 species
UCCAUGGAAUCUCGCAUGGAGUGGUAUCGCAGUAGUGGAUGCCAAAAUUAGUUAGUGGAUGCCAAAAUUACAGGUAAAUUCAUCCACUAGAUGUCCUGUAGACAUCCUGCACUGUCAUCUAGUGAAUCUGAAAAUCUAGUUCUUCAAGGCACAACCGAAUUCAACAGGCCCUAAUUGGAGAAAGACAUCUGGUGGACAAAUAUUCUACUACUUAAAUAUUUGAUCUAUUGUUAUCAUAUAACGUGUGAUACAACUGAUACAUAGAAGUAAUAAGUGAUAUCCAAGUUUGUGAUCUCCCCUAUUUUUUGUGUUUCCAAGGAUAAUCGAUACAGAAAUAAUGGCAAGCUACUGAACCUUAAAACUGUGAGCAAUCCACAUCAAUCUUUUCCACCAUGCCAUUGCUAACCAAUGUUGUUUUUAAACUACUAUCAAGCUUGUGAGACAAAAGCAAAAAAAGAUAAUGCUUGAGUACUUCUUAUUGGUUCAUGGCCUCAUGUUGUAGUUUAAUGGUAUACCUACACGACAAGUGCUGAAUAGUUAUUCCGUUUGUGGAGUACUGUCAAACAUCACCAUUUCUGAAUCCUUCCCCUCAUCUCUACUUAGCACAAGUAUUUCCAGACUUCAACAACAUAACCAAAUUUUGGACUGCAAAAUUUUAUUAUCUUUCUGCUGCUAAAUUAACACCUAAACCUAACAAGUGCAGCACAUUCAUCUUAGCAUGUCGAGAAUCUACCGUAACCUUGCCAGAAGCUUUCUCCCCAUCCCUACUUAGCCAGCUUGCAAGCAUAGGGUUCAACACCAUCAUCCCAUUUGGACUGCAGAUCUUCCUUCUACGCAAAAUCGCCGUCGGGACUAUUUCUGCAUUCAUCUUCUCCAGUGGGCCACACAUUUCAGAACUACUCUGUCUUCUUCGGCCUUCCCGUACAAAGUCAACCAUUGGGAUUCCGGCCUUGCUGUCUUCUUCCUUCGCCUUCUCUUCAUCGCUCUUCGUCGACGCCUUCUCCUCAUCGCUCUUCGUCGACGCCUUCUCCUCAUCGCUCUUCGUCGACGCCUUCUCCUCAUCGCUCUUCGUCGACGCCUUCUCCUCAUCGCUCUUCGUCGACGCCUUCUCCUCAUCGCUGUUUUCGUCUACGCCAAUGCCUUUGCCGCAUCGCCAUCCUCUAGCCAUCUAUCCGUAAGACCAAAUAGGGUGCAGCUCAGCAGAAAGCCCAAGGCGAUGGAAGCAGUUCAUCGUGGAACGUCGCCCUGGUAUUGUUUUCUUUUGUAUUGUAUUGUAUUGUAUCGUAUCAUGUAAGUUAACCCGUUGGCUGCCACCCCGUUUGCGUCCCAUUUUUUUUGUAGCUUUUAGGGACCGGGCGCUGUUCUGCCCCGUGGCCAGGGGGGGAACAGUCGCCGCGCCUUUAGGCGCCGUAGGCAAUGCACCAGUAGGGACUCUCUUUGUCGGCGCGGUGAUAGAUUCCUGGGGUGUGCAUUCCCGGAAUGGUUUCUAUCACCGUGUCAGCCCGGACUUGUCUUCGGACAAGUCCCACCUUGUUCGUGGAUCCAUCUGACGCGAAGCGUAGCAACUGUAGUAAAGCAACCUACGGGUUGCAUGGCCUGGCAGCCAACGGGUUAACUAGUUAGUUGUAUGUUGUAUGUAUUUAUAUAUGUAUUAAUUUAUGUUGUGUUAUGUAAAAAAGUGGUGGAAUUGAUGGGUGGAGGUGGGACAAUAAAAAUAAUUCCUGUUAA